rnacentral:rRNA from 1 species
GAUGAACGCUGGCGGCGUGCCUAAUACAUGCAAGUCGAGCGAACAGACGAGGAGCUUGCUCCUCUGACGUUAGCGGCGGACGGGUGAGUAACACGUGGAUAACCUACCUAUAAGACUGGGAUAACUUCGGGAAACCGGAGCUAAUACCGGAUAAUAUGUUGAAUCGCAUGGUUCAACAGUGAAAGACGGUCUUGCUGUCACUUAUAGAUGGAUCCGCGCCGCAUUAGCUAGUUGGUAAGGUAACGGCUUACCAAGGCAACGAUGCGUAGCCGACCUGAGAGGGUGAUCGGCCACACUGGAACUGAGACACGGUCCAGACUCCUACGGGAGGCAGCAGUAGGGAAUCUUCCGCAAUGGGCGAAAGCCUGACGGAGCAACGCCGCGUGAGUGAAGAAGGUCUUCGGAUCGUAAAACUCUGUUAUUAGGGAAGAAUAAAUGUGUAAGUAACUAUGCACGUCUUGACGGUACCUAAUCAGAAAGCCACGGCUAACUACGUG